rnacentral:rRNA from 1 species
AGCGAACGCUGGCGGCAGGCCUAACACAUGCAAGUCGAACGAACCUUUCGGGGUUAGUGGCGGACGGGUGAGUAACACGUGGGAACGUGCCUUUAGGUUCGGAAUAACUCAGGGAAACUUGUGCUAAUACCGAAUGUGCUCUUCGGGGGAAAGAUUUAUCGCCUUUAGAGCGGCCCGCGUCUGAUUAGCUAGUUGGUUGGGGUCAUGGCUCACCAAGGCGACGAUCAGUAGCUGGUCUGAGAGGAUGCUCAGCCACAUUGGGACUGAGACACGGCCCAAACUCCUACGGGAGGCAGCAGUGGGGAAUCUUGCGCAAUGGGCGAAAGCCUGACGCAGCCAUGCCGCGUGAAUGAUGAAGGUCUUAGGAUUGUAAAAUUCUUUCACCGGGGACGAUAAUGACGGUACCCGGAGAAGAAGCCCCGGCUAACUUCGUG